GGGAGUGGCAGUGUUUUCAGCGUGGCAGACGGAGCAGUCAGGAAGCUGGGAGCCCAAACAGCGUGAGACAAAGCCACAAAACAGAGGCUGCGCAUCGGUCGGUGCCUCUCUGUGGUCACCCUCCUCCAUCCACAUAGUGCCUGUGCUGUGUGCCAGACAUAAUACAAUGAACAAGAUCCCUGGAGUCUCUGCUAUACUUAGACUUAAAUCCUGGGGGAAGGGGCAGAACUAAAGAUGGAGCCCAUUCCUGAUGGGCUGUGGG
rnacentral:lncRNA from 1 species